rnacentral:rRNA from 1 species
GACAGAGGGUGCAAACGUUGCUCGGAAUCACUGGGCGUAAAGGGCGCGUAGGCGGGAAUGUAAGUCGGGCGUGAAAUCCCUAGGCUCAACCUAGGAACUGCACUCGAAACUGCGUUUCUUGAGUAUCGGAGAGGAAAGCGGAAUUCCUGGUGUAGAGGUGAAAUUCGUAGAUAUCAGGAGGAACACCAGUGGCGAAGGCGGCUUUCUGGACGGUAACUGACGCUGAGGCGCGAAAGCGUGGGGAGCGAACAGG